CACUUUCCUUGUUCCUUCGUGCCCCUCGAGCCCCACGCACCUUCUCUCUCGAGCACGCAACCUCUUCUUCCCUCUCCAAAGAUCUCUCUCCUUUGACUGGAUCGGCUCGCUCGCUCGACCGCCGGGACCAUGUCGCUGCCGACGCCGACGGCCGCCAGCGAGGACAGGUUGGAUCUGGACGGCGUGCUCGUAGCGCCUCUCACCAUCUGCAGAGCGGGGCGGUGGAUUCAUCUGCUCCCACCUCUUCGAGCACCUCAUGGCCGAGACCCCGGACUCCGUCCUCGCCGUCGACAUCUACUGCUACAAGAUCCGCCGCCUCGUCGACCCACCCCCGCCCCACCUCGCCCGCUGCAGCAACUUCCACCUCCUCAACGUCAAGAACAACUCCGGCCUGGAGGGCCUCAUCAAGAUGGUCGAUCUGGUGCGCCCCUCCCCACCUCCCCUCCUUCCCCGCUCGCUUUUGUCCUCUAAUGGUGGAUUGGUCUGCGAAAAAGGAAUGCUAGGGUUGAUUUUUCCGUCUUUGUUUCUGUAAAAAAGAGGAAGUGGGAUCGACGCUCUUAUCCUCUAAUGGUGGAUUGGUCUGUGAAAAAGGAAUGCUAGGCCCGAUUUUUCCGUCUUUUUUUCUGUAAAAGAGAGGAAGUGGGAUCAACCUGCAGAGGAUUUGGUCGCCGCGGCUGCGGCGGCGAGACUGCCCAUCUUUCAAUUCUGUGGCACUACUGCAUAUCCUGCCGCGGCCACUCGUUCCACCGGUGCUUCAGAGUGCUGCUGCUGCUGCUGCAAUUCAGAAACUAAGUCAGGUCUGUGCUCCAUGAUACAGUCCCUACCCCCCAUAUGAGCAAGCUAGCCUAUGUAUUAUUGGGACUAAGUAUUCAUAUUUACUAUCUCUGUGUUGUUGCCUCAGGCAAAACUAGUGGCUGAGCUUAUAGCACUAGAAAUUUAAACAUAUAAGGCUGCUAGCCAACUUGCCUCCACUGUGCUCCCCCAAUUGGGCCUUUGUUGGCCGUUGGAUCUGGUCAUUUAGAGCGUUUGAGCCGUUGGAUGUUUACCUGCUGUCAAACCCAAUUUCACCUCGUGGUCAUUUUUGCCGUCCAAUGACUGGUGGGCUCGCGCUAUGCGUUUAUUGGCUGGGUCGGUCGUUCUCGCGUGGAAGAGGCUUUUGCCCAAUCCCCGCGCGUGCUCCGCUUCCAAUCCUCCUCGCGGGGUUGCUGCGCCAGAGCCCACACCCGCCCCAACCCUAGCCGCCACACCUCUCCUUCCUCCCUCGCUUGACACCAUAGGCGUUGCACCCCCUCCCCUCCUUCCUGCUCGGGCGGAUAGCCGCCGGCCGCCGCAUCCCUUCUCCCCCUUCCUCCUCCUUCCUCCUUCCCGCUGGCGCCCAUCGCCCUCGUCCUCGGACAAGGGGCCUUCCACAGGGAUGGCCACGUCUUCAAACCAGGGGUAGAGGAGCACGGGAGGGCCAAGAAGCCGGCAUUGGGGGUGGAGCAGCCAGGCCAAGGAGGACCCAGGUGGUGGACGCGUCAUGGGGUUAAGGACAGGCCGAUGAUAUGAAUAAGUAGGAGGAGUGCCAUGGAUCUGCAGGGAAAGGAGGGCGACGCCCUCGGCGGGCGUCCGAGCAGGAAGCCGGCAGGGAGCACGUCAUCGUAGGCGUCAAGGGAGCCAUGGACAAGCCGCCAGGAGGAGAAAGCUCCCAGUUUGUGGAGGAGACUAUGUGACAGGUGUGUUUCUUCCUGUUUUUCUAACCCCUUUUCUCAUCUUUCCAUGACGACCUGCAAAAUUUUCAAGUUUUUCAGGUGGUGUUUUGGAAUCUAGAUUGAUUUGGUAUUGUAUGUUGUGUGAUGUGCCCUUGCCAAGAAUAUUUGAUGUGUGUGAUGACACGAGCAAUUGUAGAGGAGUGAACACCAUGCUCGAUUAGUGGACUGCCGCUUGAGAAGAAGCUUGUCAUUUGUCUCUUCGAGCCGCGGCGGAUAGGGGCCUUCGAAGAACUUGGGGUUUGACAUAGCCAUCGAGGAAGUGCAGGAUACAAACCAAGUGUAAUCAAAGAGGAUAUGGAUUCAAUACGGACAUGAGUGAAGGAAUGUUACUCCAAUUUGGAUCUUGGAGAAUGUUUUCUCAGUGUGGUUCAGGUUAAAUUGUUCUCCUACUGUUCCUGCUCAACCUCCUAAUGUUCUAUGUCUUCGCCGUGCCUUCUUCCAGCUUCUCUAUUGGUUUUCUCUUCACACCGAUCAGGUCUCUGCGCCAUUUGGCGCAACGGGUCCACUAGUUGUUAUAAAUGAUGCUGAUCAAUCUGUACGGCAUAAGCUCACAAAACGGCAAACACAAAACGAGCCAGCAUAUGAAAAAAUGUACUAAAAACAUUUGAGGCGGUCGAUCCCAACAGCGGAAGAGCAACUAUGCUCGAGAUAGCAGGGAGGCUGUCCAAGCUAGAAAAUAAAGGAUGGAGGCCAAGGCGAACAAUCAUCUCUGCAGUUGGGAUGCAGAAGAGUUUGCGCUGGGCCUACGGAAUGGACCGAGGAGGACAUGGAUAUGCUUGCUUCAAGAGGUGUUGCUUAUCUGAAUGUAGACAUGUCAAUGUUUGGGCCUGGAAGUCUUAUGCCCCCUGCAACACCACAACUCGAUGAAUUAAUCAAUGAAGCAAGCAGAAUGGUAGCCGAUCCUGAUGAUCCGUAUCAUACCUUGUAUGACUACAUGGCACAAAUGAGCGAUCAUGAGAGCUUCAUUUGAUUGAAACAUACUGAAGUAUUAAGCUCCUAUUUUCAUACUGCAAGAGUGGCCGGUGCAGGAACAGAUUUUGCAGCUUUUGUCGAGCACAUUGGAGUCCCUUCACUUGACAUCUCUUAUGGAUUAUUUUCAGAAUACCCUGUCUACCACUCACUGUACGAUGAUUUUGAUUGGAUGGAGCAGUUUGGAGACCCUUUGUUCCACAGACAUGUAAUGAUGAGAUCAUUCCCUUCAAUUAUGUCCUCUACGUGUCUGAACUGGAGGUAUUUUCUCUUCUGGCAACUGAGAUAGACACACAGGGUAAUCCCCUAAUUCAGUUUCAUCAAGGAAACUGAAACAGAAUCAUGAAUUCAUGAUAGACUCGCUUCUUAUUGAUCGGUACACACAAUUUUUUUCAUGAAAUUAUCAUUAAGUGUGGCAUGUAGAAGUAGCUCCAACAAUUACUUGAAACAUGGACUAUCUGCUGUCCUCAUGACAACAGAUGUUGCAAGCACAAAAGAAGGGCCAUAACACGAGGGUAAGCAUGCUGAAAGUCAAAGAGAUCAAUGACCGAUGGACGAUGGCGGAGCGAGCCUUCACCAACCAAGAGUGGCUCGGAGGGAGACCGUGGUCCAAACAUAUGAUGAGCAUCAAAGCUGCAGGCUUGUUACAUAGUACUGUAGUUGUCUGAACUCCGAAGUUAUUCUGAAACUAACCACAGUAAUGGUUUUUCUCCUUCGGCAGAUUUAUGCCUCGUCGGACCAGGACGACUGGUGGGUACCAAAGCCUUCCCCGGCAUCGUCUCGGCCAUCGUGAACGCGCAGGAGCUCAACACGUCGGAAUCUUGGCGGCUGUUGCGGCAUGAGAUUUACAUGGGUGCAAGGACCUUAUCUGUUAUGAAAUGGCAUAUUGUUAUUCGUAUGUGUAUUAUUGACUUGCCAAAUUCUUGACCGCCUAUGGUAUGAUCAGAUCAAUAUAAAGAGUGUGGCUUCUAUUCUUUUAACA